rnacentral:rRNA from 1 species
AGAGUUUGAUCAUGGCUCAGAUUGAACGCUGGCGGCAGGCCUAACACAUGCAAGUCGAACGGUAGCAGGAUGUGCUUGCACAUCGCUGACGAGUGGCGGACGGGUGAGUAAUGCUUGGGAACUUGCCUUUGCGAGGGGGAUAACAGUUGGAAACGACUGCUAAUACCGCAUAAUGUCUACGGACCAAACGGGGCUUAGGCUCCGGCGCAGAGAGAGGCCCAAGUGAGAUUAGCUAGUUGGUGGGGUAAAGGCUCACCAAGGCAACGAUCUCUAGCUGUUCUGAGAGGAAGAUCAGCCACACUGGGACUGAGACACGGCCCAGACUCCUACGGGAGGCAGCAGUGGGGAAUAUUGCACAAUGGGGGAAACCCUAAUGCAGCCAUGCCGCGUGUGUGAAGAAGGCCUUCGGGUUGUAAAGCACUUUCAGUUGUGAGGAAAAGUUAGUAGUUAAUACCUGCUAGCCGUGACGUUAACAACAGAAGAAGCACCGGCUAACUCCGUGCCAGCAGCCGCGGUAAUACGGAGGGUGCGAGCGUUAAUCGGAAUUACUGGGCGUAAAGCGCACGCAGGCGGUUUGUUAAGCUAGAUGUGAAAGCCCCGGGCUCAACCUGGGAUGGUCAUUUAGAACUGGCAGACUAGAGUCUUGGAGA